rnacentral:RNase_P_RNA from 1 species
CCCCACCCGGAGCAAGACCAAAUAGGGGAGAGUUGACGUGGCCCGCCGAUCUCCCGGGUUAGGUCGCUAGAGAUGUUAGGUAACUAACAUCCCAGAGAGAUGACUAUCGCCCCGUCAGGGGAACAGAACUCGGCUUACAGACCUGCUUUAUAU